GUCUCCCUUUAUAUUCCUCUACCUGCCUGCGCCAACCGGCCCGAUGCACGUCGUAGCUCACCUCGGCAUCCUGAAGCUGCUGCUGAAGGUCGGAGAUCUUCUUCGACCACUCCCGAUCGCCAUCGGCCCGAGCCAAGAGCCGGAACGAACUUCCUCCCAGCUGGCCGAUCUUCUCCAUCGCAGCCGACAGUUCCACCCUG
rnacentral:lncRNA from 1 species